rnacentral:sRNA from 1 species
GAACCUGCCGCAGGUUCGGGUCUCACGUAGUGAGACAACGGAGCCGCUUGCGGCGACGGCCCGUAGGGCGAGGCGAAGCCGAGUCAUCCUGCACGACCCACCA